rnacentral:lncRNA from 1 species
GAUUAUUCAAAAUGAAUGUUGACUUUCCAAAACCUUCCCUGGUUUUCAUAGCCAUUGAACAUAGUUUUAAACAUGAACAUUUUUCGAUACAUAAACAUGCAUGCUCACCCAUUGGUUAAUAGCAGAGUUACAAUCAACUUGUAGACAGUACACAAGGAAGAACUAAAGCCAACCAUCCAUGAUUAUUCAACAUGAAUGUUCACUUACCAAACCAUUCCCUGGUUUUCAUGGCCACUGAACAUAGUGUCAAACAAAACCUUUUGCUUAACAUAAAAAUGCAUGCUCACCGAUUGAUUAACAGCAGGGUUACAAUUGAUUUGUUCACAGGACAGAAGGUAAAUCUUGACCUAAAGAAAACAUACAUGUUGCAUGCUCACCAAUUGAUUAGUAGCAGAAGGAAGCUGUUGAUCUAAAAAAAGAUGCAUGCUCACCCGCCAACAAAAGAAAAACUAAAAACAUGCAUGCUCAAACCAUGAUCAUUCAACAUGAUACAAUGUUCACUUUCCAAAGAGUAAAGAUACUAGAGUUGGUGAGAAACAAUUUCAUACACGGGCGAACUCACAAAGCUUUAGUUAUGCAAAUAGACCUACUAGGAAGGAAAUAGAUGACUGCAUAACAAAUGCAGCAAAUUAUUCCUUCAGAGCACCCACUUGAUGGCAUCAGUCGUGAAGGCAUAACGUGCACACUUGUGCUUGACCAUCUGAAGGGUCUGAUCAUCACCGACACCAUGCAUCAUCUCUACGCCGGUGAGCACAGCAAACUGCUGACCAGUUGAUUCUGCUUUAAAGGUCUUAGCGAUGACAAACUUGCCAUCGCCCAGGUUGAGAAGCUCACGGCGUAUUGGAAUCCACGCCACUCCCUCAGGUGGGUUCAGGUCUUGCCAAGCUUGCUGCUCAGUGGGUGUUUGCUCAUGGACCAUGGCAGAGAGGUCCACAGCACACAGAUUGUUGGGCCAGAUGGCUGAGAAGCCAAACCACAGGUUGAACUCAGGGAUGUACUGAGCUCUGCCAUUAAAAGGCAGCUUCCACUUCCCGGCGUGCUUCCAUUCUUCCGAGUGGCUCCAUCCUAGACGGUGCUUGGAGUCAUGGUGUGCCGUCUGAAAGCUGUAUGUGCCGAUGCUGCCCUCACAUGAUAUGUAGAUGGUGGAAAAGCCAUAGCUGUCGACUGUGGUAGUGUAAGAGAGAACAGAGGAAGGUUUGUACCCAGGUUGGCGGACAAAAGGAGGCGGUGGAAGUAGUCGCCAACGCCAGGUGGCCCUCAAGUUGCUCAGCUCACUGCACUCGGGCAUGAACUCAAGGACCUCGAAGCAUCGACUAUCAGCUUUCCAGGGGCAACUGUCCAGGACAUACAAGCUGUCUUGGUCGGUGCCAGGGUGCUCGAUGGGCAGGCACAUGGGGUCUGCUCCCUUAGGCUCGUUGAGGCAACCCAUGGUGUUGAAGAGCUGCUUGUCGGCGUCGUACAGCACAGCCUCACCGAUCGAAUUGCUAAAAACAAUUCUGCCUUCGCUGGUGCCGCGGGGGUUGAAGAGCGCGAACAUAUCAAGACCGACACCAGAGGGAGUUGCUGUGAACUUGAUGCCUGGGUCCGGCAGCUGCAGGGACUGCAUCACUGGAAAAUAAUCCUUAUACUUUGCUGCUUCAUCUGCUGCUUCAAGUGCUGCCUUUGCUGACGGGUAGAAGAGAUGAUUGUAAGGAUUGAUCCGGCGCACCGAAUAAACGCCUUCGACCCAGUUAUGCAUCACCAGAUUGACAAAGCGCCUGUUCAUCCUCGUCGUUGCUGGUCUCCCAACCAAACCAAAAGAACACCCUGUCUGAUAAUAAAAUGAGAUAAACUAAGUAAACAAAUUGGCCAGAUUCGCUUUAAAGAUGGAGACUUUCGCCGGAUAAUACCUGAACUUGACUUGAUGAUCAACAGAACUUCACGCAAGGUCUUGUGCGGGUGGGGAGGUAGAGCUUGCGCGGCGAUUUGGUCAAGGUCUUGUGCGGGUGGCGAGGGACUUGGGCGGCGGCGGGCACCGGGAUGGGAGCUAGGUUAGGUUUUGCUCCUCGUUCUCGUCUUAUUUACAAGAAGAUUCCCGCAUGGUUGGGCUACGGGCCGAACAACUCUUCACACAAAAGGCCCCGGAGGCCUAUUGAGGUAUCGCUGGGCUGGAUCGGCAACACAGCGCGCGAACUCCCCGGAGGCCUAUUGAGGUAUCGCUGGGCUGGAUCGGCAACACAGCGGGCGAACUCGGCGCCUUGCUUGACUCGAGAGACUAACAACAGUGCUAUAUUCCCUCAAAUAAACCAACGACAUUUUGAUGAAUAAAGAAACGUAGUUUCCCUAAAAAAACACUGCUAUGUAUUCCCUCAAAUUAAAAAAAUCCAAUGCUAUACAUUCCCUAAAAAAACUAAUGCUAUAUAUUGUUUUGUUUUUUUAGUCUAUGAUAUAUAUUGUCUAUAGCAACCGUUAAUCAUAGUGCGCCCACAGUACGCGACAUUCUCGUUACCGUUCGUUGUGCCACGUAGUGCAACCCUCGAAUGCUAUUUAUCACAUUCAGCGAUCGGUGUGGGGUCGCAUCGCGUCGAGGGAACAGUGAUGGGCCGGGCCAUUUUGACGUACGAAUUGUUGAAAAAACUGGGAACACAAGGGAGAUUGAACCCUGGUCUCCAGGGUGACGACCGGUGCUCCGUCCGCGUGGCGUUUUCUCCUUUUUUUUUUCUUUUUUUGUUUUCUUUCUUUUCUUUUCUUCUUCUUCUUCUCCGGGAUUUUUCAUUUGUUUCCCCCUUUUUUUCAUUAUCCUUUUCCUUUGGUCUUUUGUUUCUUUUUUGGUUUUUCAUUUCUUUUGGUUUUUCUUUUGUUUCUUUUUUUCAUUCUACAUUCUUAUAUACAUGGUCAAGAUUUUUCAAAUAUCUGUUCAACAUUUUUGAAAUACAUGAUCAAUAUUUUUUUCAAAUAUUUGUUCAACAUCUUUUCAAAUACUUGUUCUAAAAUUUUCAAAUACUUCCUCAACAUUUUUCAAAUACUUGUCAACAUUUUUCAUAUACCUGUUCAACAUUUUCAGUAAGUAUUCAACAUUUUCAAAUGCAUAUUCAACAUAUCUUUUUCAAAUACGUAUUCAACAUUUUUUAAAUACUUGUUCACAUUUUUCAGAUUCUUGUUCAACAUUUUUUAAUCCUUGUUCAACAUUUUUUUUCAAAUGUGUUUUUGGGAGAGUGUUUUUGUAGUAUAUGCAUUUAAAAUAUUUCAAAGUAUAAACAAAAGCAGAAAGAAAGCAAAAAAGAAAAAAAGUGAAAAAAAUAAACAGGAAACAGGCAGAGGCAGCGACGCGCGCACCAAGUCUGAAGCUUCCGCCGCCGCGCUUGAUGCCUGCGUGCGAAAGACCGAGCGAGGCGCAAACUCUACAAAUGGACUGCAGGUUGAAAUUAGUACCACCUCAAGAAAUUAAAAAAUGCCAAAAAUGUGAGCGCUCUCGCGACUGCAAAGAACGGGGCAUGGGAGCGCUCUUGCGACCACCCGCGGCGGCCGCCACUCUGGCUCCGCCGCCCACCACUGUCGCUGCUUCCCUGCUGGUUGGAACUGCCUCGGUCAUGCUUCCUCCGCCGCCAGCCACGUUGCCGCCCCUGGAUCUGUUCUCUCAGUCCAAAUCGGGAGGAUCUGGAGCUUGCGUCCCUUGCCCUUUCAGUCUGAAUCGGGAGGAUCUGGAUCGGAUCUCCACACUCCUGCCGCCGCCGGCGGCUAGCCGCGGCUCUGCUUCUGCCAUUGGGGCUGGUGUGCUCUUGGUGACGCCCCUCGUGACACUCUCUCCCAACCUCGCGGUCGCAUCUUCAAGCAGCGACCCGCGCACCAAGUCUGAAGAUUCCGCCGCCGCGCUUGAUGCAUGCGUGCGAAAGACCGAGCGAGGCACAAGCUCUACGAAUGGACUGCGGGUUGAAAUUGUAUCACCUCAAGAAAUAAAAAAAGCCAAAGUGUGAGCGCUCUCGCGACUGCAAGGAAUGGGGCAUGGGAGCGCUCUCGCGACCGCCGCCACUCUGGCCCCGCCGCCCACCGCUACCGCUGCUUCCCUGCUGGUUGGAACCGCCUCGGGCGCGCUGCCUCCGCCACUGGCCGUGUUGCCGCCCCUGGAUCGGUUCUCUCAGUCCAGAUUGGGAGGAUCUGGAGCCUGCGUCCCUUGCCGUUUUAGUCUGGAUUGGGAGGAUCUGGAUCGGGUCUCCACGCUCCUGCCGCCGGCAGCGGCUGGUCGCGGCUCUACUUCUGCCAUUAGGGCUUAUGUGCUCUUGGUGACGCCCCUGGUGACACUCUCUCCCAACCUCGCGGCCGCAUCUUCAGGCAGCGACACGCGCACCAAGUCUGAAGCUUCCGCCGAUGUGCUUGCUCUCCGCAGGUCCGACCCAUCUGUGGGUGGCCGAUGGACCCCUCACCUCACCGAGCCAGCCAAAGCGACAUCUUCGACCCCGCCACUCUCCGCUCCUCUGGUCGACGCCUCCACUGUCCGCCUGGCGCCGUGUCCACCCCUGGCAGGUCCUGAUAUGGCAGUCAAGCCAGCCACUAGUCCCCUGCAUCUGGUCCAAGGAGAGCCGGAUCCUGCUGCCACCGCCCCGUCGACCUCUACUCUCAGCAAGCUGUUGGCCCCUCUAGCGCCGGCCAUUCCUUCUCGGAUGUCAUUGCCGCUGCCAAGUGACUCCGUCCAAGGGGACGGCGCGCCUCCCACACGUUCAGGUUGCGGUGAUUGGCGUGUCUGCUUCGUUCGGGAUGCAACGCACGGUGUUCCAGUGUGCGGCGUGCCCGCGCGUCCUAGGGAUCUUCUGGAUGGAUGGCACCUUGUAUCGGCGCGUCGCUCGUUGCCUCGCGUGCCCUGUUGUGACUCUGCAUCCAUAGCUCGGCCAGCUCCCCCGGCAUGGCUGAGAGACUGUUGCUUUCGGUGCCUCUCCAAGGGUCACCGUGCUCAUGAGUGCAGGGACCCAUUCCGGUGCAUGGGAUGCCUUCAAUUUGGCCACAAAGUGUGUUUCUGUCGUGCACAGCACUGCACCGACCGGACUACGACACUGCGACAUGCUGCUCCACCAUCCACCCCAGCGCAUGUGUCAAAUGUCGAUGCAACACCAGUUGAUGUGGCAUUGUAGCCCGUCCUUGUGGAGCAGACUGGGCUAUUCCGCGCUGAGCUUCUCGACUGCAUUGCGCGAGUUGGGAGUGUUUUGGCAAGUGCAUAGGCCUCUCUCGCCAAGCUCCAGGAUGUGCCCGUUGUGUCCUUGUUGCCCAAGAUCCACGAUGGUUCUGCCAAUGGGGAAGCAGGCAUGUAUGGAGAUCUCUCCCCUCGUGCUACAUCCUGCCUGUCAUCGCUGCAUGUCGUGUCGAUUACUUUUGAGAGUGAAACCGUUGUUGAGGUCGUUACUUCGGUGCUGCAGAUUAUGCCUGAGCUGCAGAAGCUUUAUGAGGAGCCCACCUCGCCUAUUUUGAUGAUGCUUCCUAAGGAGAUGGAGUUGCUUGGAGGGGCCUUGGCGAUGUCGACUGCGACCUCACCACCGUCGUUGGAGCCCAGUCACUUGAUCACCUUUGUGGACUGUGGGGGUUUGGAUGCUGCUAUUGUUGUUCCACCUGUGACUGUUGGCCAGGUGGCAUCUGUGGGUGCCGAGGUUGAUGAGGUGUGUGCUUUGGCACCUAAUUCUGAAGUGUUGAAGACCAUCAGAUCGCCCAUCUUUGACCGUGAAAGUAUGAUGGCACGUAUUGAUGAGGUGGUCUUCGCGAAAAAGCUUUGCCGCUUGCUCGCUGGUUUGGAGGCAGCUAGCUCGGGGUCUGGCAAGGCGAUUGCCGGCCUCCUAGCGGAGGAGGCUUCUACGGGAAAAAUCAAGAAGGUGAAGAAGGCUCUCAGGAGCAUAGGCAAAAAGAGUGGCACCAUUGGUAAGGCGUCCGCGGCUGCUUAAUGGAUGAUACUCAGUCUCUCCGAUCACCAUCUCCGAUUGGCUCGUCUCCGUGGAUUGGCUGGUGUCCGUUGUAUUCAACCUUAGUUUCGUUGGGAGUUUCAUUGCGACGUAGAAGUGCGACGGAUCAUGGUUGUUGUGUGUUAUGUAUGUUUAUCGGGUUGAUCGGGGGGUCAUCGAGUUUCCUUAUUAGCGAAUAGUCCGCAUGUAGUUUAUAUGUAUCGGUUUUCGCCCGGUUUUCCGUUAAUUAACCGGGCAAUUCUCUUCUUAAUUAAUCGAUAAGGCAAAACUUUUGUCUUCGUUUUGAAAAAAAAAAUAAUACCACCUUGGUUAGCAAAGUAAAAUAAGGAAAUAUGGGAGCGAGGUGGAUGGACAUAAAACGGACAAAAUUACGAUGAUAAGAAAAGGGUAUAGAGGUAUAGAUUGAGGCCAUCAAAUAACCAGUGCGGCCCAGCCAUGUACGGGUGCGAUUUCAAGAAAGGUGAAAGUUUUCUUUUCACAAAACUGCAAGCCACGGCUCGGCCACAAUAUGGCCAGCAUGGCGCCAGAUGUCAACGGACGGUUGGUUGUGGACUUUUUUCGAGGGUACGCAAAUUGCGUACCUUAGCUUUAUAGAAGGAGAGAAAUAAGACAUACAACAACGUCCAUCACUCGCUGCGAACAACGAAGGCGACCAACUCCACACCCGGAUCGUACAAGGACAACCAAACACAACAACACAACUACGACACAAAAAGCCUACCCAACACCGAGCCCCUCGCCGCGUCUUGGCCGACACCAAAGACCUCUGAAGAACAUCAACUCCAUCUUCCUUGGAUUAUCCAGCGACGACUGUACAUGGCGCCGGAGGAGAAAGAUCCAGGCAGCGGUGAACACCGAAGGAGCGCAUCAUGGGACCUCGAGUCUCCCAGCACAAUGCUCCCAACAGAGUAACAACCUCAAAGACUGUUGCCAUCAUGCCGAUCCUACGAAUCAAGGCUUUCGCCCGGAGACAGCUGCCGAUACGAGGUCGCGAGGAAGAUGGCGUUGCACUCAACGAAGCCUCCAGGAAGGUGAAUGACACCCGCAGGUGCCAUCAACGCCGGUCCAGUCACAACCGAACAGGAUUUUCAUCCGUAGCGCUGCACAUCUCCACGUCUCCAAGAUCCCGGCGAGUCCCGAUCAGAUGCCUCGCACCGCCGUCACCGCAACAACUUGCUAUCGAAGCCCCCUUCACUGCCGAGGGAACACGCCUAAAGCCAUCACCUUCAACAUCGACUAGGAGCCGCAGCAACCACCGAGCGGUGCAAAGCCAGUUCCGCCACGGUGGCCUUCACCCGCGACAGGGGACUGCCACCAGAAUGGAUCCGACCGCUUUGCAAGUUGGGGUGGCGGGAUCACAGUUUGCAAGAUUGUGGACUAAACCAUCAACCACCUCACAAGUUUGUGGGUCUGUAGUGCUCUUCCUCUUGAUUAAUACUCCCUCCGUUUCAAAAUAGAUGACUCAACUUUGUACUAACUUUAUACAAAGUUGAGUCAUCUAUUUUGGAACGGAGGGAGUAGAAGAGUUGCAAACAACUUGUAGACAAUACAGAAGGUAGCACUUGAUCUAAACAAGAACAUGCAUGCUCACCCAGCAGAGUUACAAUCAACUUGUAGAUAGUACAGAAGGAAGCUCUUGAUCUGAAAAACCAUGCAUGCUCACCGGCCAACAAAAGAAACAGAAAAACCAGCCAUCCAGAUCAUUCAACAUGAUACAAUGUUCACUUUCCAGACAGGAAAGAUUGUAGAGUUCGUAACAAUCUCAUAGACAGGCCGAACUCAGAAAGCUUUAAUUAUGCAAAUAGACCUACUAGGAAGGAAAUAGAUGACUGCAUAACAAAUGCGGCAAAUUAUUCCUUCAGAGCACCCACUUGAUGGCAUCAGUCGUGAAGGCAUAGCGUGCACACUUGUGCUUGACCAUCUGAAGGGUCUGAUCAUCACCAACAUCAUGC